CCUACGGGUGGCAGCAGUAGGGAAUAUUGCGCAAUGGGCGAAAGCCUGACGCAGCGACGCCGCGUGAGGGAUGAAGGUCUUCGGAUCGUAAACCUCUGUCAGCAGGGAAGAACGGUCACUGUGCUAAUCAGCAGUGAAUUGCCGGUACCUGCAAAGGAAGCACCGGCUAACUCCGUGCCAGAAGCCGCGGUAAUACGGUGGGUGCGAGCGUUAAUCGGAAUUACUGGGCGUAAAGCGCUCGUAGGCGGUAUGUCAAGUCAAGGGGGAAAUCCCCGCGCUCAACGUGGGAACUGCCUUUGAAACGGGCAAACUGGAGUGUGUGAGAGGAUAGUGGAAUUCCAGGUGUAGGAGUGAAAUCCGUAGAUAUCUGGAGGAACAUCAGUGGCGAAGGCGACUAUCUGGCACAUAAUUGACGCUGAGGAGCGAAAGCGUGGGUAGCAAACAGGAUUAGAUACCCUGGUAGUC
rnacentral:rRNA from 1 species